rnacentral:tRNA from 1 species
UAGCUUGGUUGGUAGCGCGUCUGCCUUGUAAGCACUAGGCCGCGGGUUCGAUUCCCGC